ensembl:snRNA Gm22593 U6 spliceosomal RNA
UUGUUCUCAUUUUGUUAGCAAAUCUACUAAAACUGAAGCAAUACAGAGAUUAACAUGGCCCUUGUUCAAGGAUGACAUGCAAAUUCUGGAAGCAUUCCAUAUUUAU